rnacentral:piRNA from 1 species
UGGGUUUUAAAUGACUGGUGUGGAAGAGU